UGCAUGAAGUUGGAAUCGCUAGUAAUCGCGGAUCAGCAUGCCGCGGUGAAUACGUUCCCGGGCCUUGUACACACCGCCCGUCACACCAUGAGAGUCGGGAACACCCGAAGUCCGUAGUCUGACCACAAGGGGACGCGGCCGAAGGUGGGUUCGAUAAUUGGGGUGAAGUCGUAACAAGGUAUC
rnacentral:rRNA from 1 species